rnacentral:rRNA from 1 species
GACGAACGCUGGCGGCGUGCUUAACACAUGCAAGUCGAACGGAAAGGCCCUGCUUUUGUGGGGUGCUCGAGUGGCGAACGGGUGAGUAACACGUGAGUAACCUGCCCUUGACUUUGGGAUAACUUCAGGAAACUGGGGCUAAUACCGGAUAGGAGCUCCCGCUGCAUGGGGGGGGUGGGAAAGUUUCGGCGGUUGGGGAUGGACGCGCGGCUUAUCAGCUUGUUGGUGGGGUAGUGGCUUUCCAAGGCUUUGACGGGUAGCUGGCCUGGGAGGGUGACCGGCCACAUAGGGCUGGAGGUAGGGCCCGGACUGCUUCUGGAGGCAGGGGUGGGUGAUAUUGCACGAAGGGCGGAGGCAUGCUUGAGCAACGCCGGGUGCGGGAGGACGGCUUUCGGGAUGGAAACAGAUUUCGCCUGUGCCGAAGUGUGAGGAACGUAACUGAAGAAUAAGGCCCCGCUAACUUCGUU